rnacentral:RNase_P_RNA from 3 species
UUUCGGGGCCAGAUCGUCGCUCCGAUGUUCUUUGCAGCAUGGGAGAGGAAAGUCCGGACACCGCAGGGCAGGACGCCGCACGAGCCGAGGCCGCAAGGCGGAGGCAAGUGCGGGCGGCGCGCGUCAAGGCGCGACCGACGGAGAGUGUCACAGAAAACAAACCACCAGACCGGCGAACGGGUAACCGUUUUUCGGUCGGGCAAGGGUGAAAAGGUGGGGUAAGAGCCCACCGCGUCGCGCAGCAAUGCCGGCGGCACGAAAAACCCCGUCCGGUGCAAGGCAAAAUAGGUGGCUGGGUGGCCCGCCCUUAAGCCACGGGUAUGCCGCAUCAGUCCGCAAGGACUGGAGCGGGCGCGAGUCCGCUAGAGAAAUGGCGAUCACCCGUCCUCCCCCCGGAGGACGGCGAACAUAAUCCGGCUUACGGCCCCGAAACCAA